GUGGGGAAUAUUGGACAAUGGGCGCAAGCCUGAUCCAGCCAUGCCGCGUGAGUGAUGAAGGCCUUAGGGUUGUAAAGCUCUUUCACCCACGACGAUAAUGACGGUAGUGGGAGAAGAAGCCCCGGCUAACUUCGUGCCAGCAGCCGCGGUAAUACGAAGGGGGCUAGCGUUGCUCGGAAUCACUGGGCGUAAAGGGCGCGUAGGCGGCCGAUCAAGGCAGGGGUGAAAGCCUGUGGCUCAACCACAGAAUUGCCUUUGAUACUGUUUGGCUCGAGACCGGAAGAGGUUGGUGGAACUGCGAGUGUAGAGGUGAAAUUCGUAGAUAUUCGCAAGAACACCAGUGGCGAAGGCGGCCAACUGGUCCGGUUCUGACGCUGAGGCGCGAAAGCGUGGGGAGCAAA
rnacentral:rRNA from 1 species